GUCGAGCGGAUGAGAGGAGCUUGCUCUUCCAUUCAGCGGCGGACGGGUGAGUAAUGCCUAGGAAUCUGCCUGGUAGUGGGGGACAACGUUUCGAAAGGAACGCUAAUACCGCAUACGUCCUACGGGAGAAAGCAGGGGACCUUCGGGCCUUGCGCUAUCAGAUGAGCCUAGGUCGGAUUAGCUAGUUGGUGAGGUAAUGGCUCACCAAGGCGACGAUCCGUAACUGGUCUGAGAGGAUGAUCAGUCACACUGGAACUGAGACACGGUCCAGACUCCUACGGGAGGCAGCAGUGGGGAAUAUUGGACAAUGGGCGAAAGCCUGAUCCAGCCAUGCCGCGUGUGUGAAGAAGGUCUUCGGAUUGUAAAGCACUUUAAGUUGGGAGGAAGGGCAGUAAGCGAAUACCUUGCUGUUUUGACGUUACCGACAGAAUAAGCACCGGCUAACUCUGUGCCAGCAGCCGCGGUAAUACAGAGGGUGCAAGCGUUAAUCGGAAUUACUGGGCGUAAAGCGCGCGUAGGUGGUUUGUUAAGUUGGAUGUGAAAUCCCCGGGCUCAACCUGGGAACUGCAUCCAAAACUGGCAAGCUAGAGUAGGGCAGAGGGUGGUGGAAUUUCCUGUGUAGCGGUGAAAUGCGUAGAUAUAGGAAGGAACACCAGUGGCGAAGGCGACCACCUGGGCUCAUACUGACACUGAGG
rnacentral:rRNA from 1 species